rnacentral:rRNA from 1 species
CCUACGGGUGGCAGCAGUGAGGAAUAUUGGUCAAUGGGCUAAGGCCUGAACCAGCCAAGUCGCGUGAGGGAAGACGGUCCUAUGGAUUGUAAACCUCUUUUGUCGGGGCGAAACGAGGCCACGUGUGUCCGAAGUGAGAGUACCCGAAGAAAAAGCCACGGCAAACUCCGUGCCAGCAGCCGCGGUAAUACGGGGGAUGCGAGCGUUAUCCGGAUUUAUUGGGGUGAAAGGGUGCGUAGGGGGAAAAUUAAGUCAGUGGUAAAAUCGAGGGGCUAAACCCCUUUAAGCCGUUGAAACUGGUGAUCUUGAGUGGGCGAGAAGGAUGCGGAAUGCGUGGUGUAGCGGUGAAAUGCAUAGAUAUCAGGCAGAACUCCGAUGGCGAAGGCAGCAUACCGGCGACCGACUGACGCUGAGGCACGAAAGCGUGGGGAUCGAACAGGAUUAGAUACCCUAGUAGUC